rnacentral:lncRNA from 1 species
CAUAUCUGAGAUCUCAAUCUGUUCAUCCUCCUCCACCUGUGCACCUCCUUCCUCUUCUUCCCCAACCACUGUCUCCUCUCAUUCUCUACUUGCUGCCUCCUCCUCCCUGCCCACAAACUCCUCAUCACCAAGCUCUUAGAACCCUCUGGCUCCCCCCCUCCUCCAUCAGCCGGUCUCUCGCAGCCUCUUUUUUCUCAUUCUUGACUGGAUUGCUCUCUAGCUCGUCCUUGACAUACGUGACAGCUUCGGCCUUCGCAUAUGUGAUAGCUUCGGCCUUCGCAUCUGGGACAGCUUUAGCCUUCACAUACAGGAUAACUUCGGCCUUUGGCUCUUUGUCCUCCUCCAUCUCCUCCUUACUUGCAUCUUCUUCAGCUUUCGAUAGUGGCUCUUCAGUGGCAUACAUCACCUCUGGUGCUGCUGGCUCUUCCACAACCUCCUCCACCUUAGGAGCAGCUGCAGCAGCCCUCCCACCCAACAGUGAUUUGGCCUUAUCGGUUGCCUUCUUCUCUGGAGGAGACUUCACAGGCAAAGCCAACUUCUUCUCAUCGGCCAGAGUUGCCACCUCGUCGACUAG